GAAGCAGAGGAGAAGAGAUUAUUGGAAAACAAGGCACAACAGAGAAAUCCUCUCACAGAUCAAGCACGCUGUUGGGAGGAGGAUGUGAACCUGGCCCCAGCACCCCGGGGGAACCAAACCCACCUGGGAGUGGGAGUGGGAGUGAGCUAUGAGCGCACGGCUUGGACCAGCCGCUGGUGCCAAAGCGCUGCAAAAGUCGAAUGAGCCUGGGAUGUCCCCAGCAAGUAGGGGAUUACUCGGCUACUGAGGAAUGAUUUGAAAUCUACCACGGGCCACAUCGCUGGAAAAUAACAGUGCUUGGCUAGUGAGGAAAAAGUAUCCGCCACCAAAGAAGCCUAGCUUGGUGUAAGAAUACGUGGAAAGCUUUAAAAAUAAAGCUCAUCUGAAAAGGCAGCAGAUGAUUAAUCCUGCAGCUAAAAUAACUGGAGUGUCCUCACGUGUCUGGCCAGGAGGGCAGAGGACCUAACAAAGACCCACAGCUUUCUGAAGCACCAGCUAGUGACCAGAUGUGCUACCGUGCGGCACCAAAUGUGGCAAUGACCAAAUAUAUUCAGGUACCCUUAUCUAAAGCACCGUCUCAUCUUCUUUUCUUCCCUGUUGAUAAUCAUUUACUCACAGGGAACCCUCUUUUAAAGGUGCUUUCCUUGUCCAUAGACCUCAGAGGCUCUGAAACACUAAUAGCGGUACUUGAUUUAUCUCCAGCCUGCACAGCAUUUGUCAAUUGACCUGAUAUGGAAGAAAAUUAUGUCAUUUUUUCCUUACUAAAUGAUCAUAUAAUUAUUUAGUACUGACCAAACAGAAAUUUUAAAGAUGAGGGAGGAAAAAACUCCACCAUAAGGAAAAAAAAAAAAAAAAAAGACUAGCCUAUUAGACCAGGGACAGCGUAUUAGCUGGCACCUGUUAAUGUCUGGCCUCCAGUGCUGAAAUCGUAAGCCCUGGGUUGCCAGAGCUUCCGAUUCGGUCUCCCUCUGGGGGAUCAUCAGAUAAACUCGUCAGCAAGAGUAGGGUGUGCGACAGAUGGUGCAGGUUUCCUUUAAAUAGCUAGAUUCCUCAACCCAGGGGGUGAACUGCAGCUUGGGGGAGUGAUAAAUAUGAAGGAUAUAAGUAUGCUGUCACAGGUUUGUGGGACAACUGGGAUGAAUGGAUGAGACAAAAGUAAAUAUUUGUAUUUAGUUUGCAAACUCUGGGCUGUAAAUCCUCUUCAAUUUGAGUUCCAUUCGUCACUGGCAAUAUAGUGAAAUUGUAGACAUAAACAUUAUUUGCUCAUAUAAAGAAAUGGAUAUACCCUGGACUCUUAUUCUUUGCUUUUAAACGCAAGAUAGAACAAAUGAAGAUAUGUUCUGGAAAGCAGGCUCAGUUUAAAAAUCCUUCCCAGACACUGUAAUAACGAAGGGUGGAACCUGUGUCUGGAUUAAUAACUACCUGCAGAACAUGAGCAUUUUAACAUUCAUACAAAAACUUCUGUUCAUAAGCCUGUACCAAUACAGUGGUAGAAUGACUUCAUACCCCACACGGUUGCCCUUUGCAUCCCUUUAUUUGCCACUUAGGUUUCUGUGAUCUCAAUAGCUGCUCGGGAGAAUGAAAGCAUUGAGAAUUCAAUCAUGUUAUGGUAUUGCUUUAUAUUGCACAGGUUCAUGCGCUGUCACACAGGCUGGGUUUCCCAACAGCUGACCACAGGGUAUUAAGGGAGCUUGGUUUCACAAGCACGUAAAUAUAAAAAUAAAACCCGGGGAAAACAAUCAGUUCCUAAAACAAGUUAUAUGCUUCUGCAAAACUGCAUUUCAUGAAAAAGUACUUCAAAAAGAAGAGGAAAAAUAUGUUAAAGAGAAGACUGUCAUCUGACUUCAGCUCAGCCUCAGGUGAAUAUCUUUCAGCAAUGCCUUCACAAGACAUUCAAGAGCUCCCAGAAGAUCUGGAGGAGCACAUCCAUCCAUGCCCUGGGCACAAGGAAGUUACUCCACCAUAAGUUUCAUCUUUUUUCUAAGAGCAACAGCUCUUAUUCUUGUCGUACUGCCUUAUCCCUUGCUCUGGAGUAUCUUUAAUUCCAGCUUUGCCCCCUCGGUGUUCCUCAGCCACCUGCUGACAAGAGCUUUCCCUUCUGGAGGACAGCAGGCAUCCAGGCAUGGGUCUGUCGGAGCUGCUGCCCGUUCCGACAGCCAGCCUCCCUUUCUGCCCCGUUUCUCUGCCGAAGGACGGUUCCACCGCCUGGGGAUGAGCAUUUCUCUGGACUUGGCAGAGGUCUUGUGCCUGUAAAAUCUCGCAAGUGGUCUGCCCAGUGUCCCUCAGCAGGUACUUAAAUCACUGCUGGGGCCAGUAGCUGUUGCUAGCUGUGGCUCCUAUCCACCUGCAUUUCAAAGUAUUGAAAUGAAGCAGCUGAUGAAUGUUAGUUUGGGUUUUGUUUGGUUUGGUUUGGGUUUUUUUUUUUUUUCAGGUGUGUUAAAUGAAUCUGCUCCAUCUUCAAAUGCUGGUGCCAGAGAAAAGACCUCACUUGAAAUGUUGCUCUGUUGGAUGUAGAGAACUUUGAUCAGAAUUUCUCCUGAGGAUCUGGUUGUCUCACCAGGAGCAGAACCUGAGGGAAAACUGCUUUGCUUUAUUUUUCAGGAUUCUAGUUCAACUGGUCAAAGUAACACUAGAUCACUUGACUGCAUGAUGUUUUCUACCCAUCAGGAACAGAAGAAGCUAUUGCACGGUUCAUCUUUGGUAUCGGACCCUGCAGCCAAAUUCUUGGCUGAGGGCUAUUUUAACUGCAUCAUCUCCCUUAUUAUGAUGGGAAGGAGAGACAGGGAAGGGUAGGAUGAAAAAAACAUACGUGGAGGCAUUUUUGCUGUGAGAAGAAAGGGUCCAGCUGUUUCCUGAGCUCAGGAAAGUGAUAUCGCAGCGUACCCUGAAACCAUAUGGACCUGCUCCUGAGCCAAGUCUCAACAAGGCAUCCUCAGAGGGGUUUGAAGCGUUGGCAGCUGCCCAUACUUAGAUGGAGUGGGCCAUACCUCCAGACCCCGGCACUGCAGCCAGGAUGCAAUGAGCAGGAAUGGAUGCAACCUCAGGUCCAGGGGUGCAUGAGACACACAGAGGAGGAGUGAGCGGCACUACUCUGGGUGAUGGGCAGAGACACGCUGGAGCGGCACGCUAACAACGGGCAGGCGGCACGGUGCUGGCACGGGGAGCAACAAGCUGGGGGUGGCGACGGGGAACCCACGGCUCCAACACAUGCAUUGGCACUGCAGACAGAUUCCCCACAGAGCUUGUGUGCUGACAACCACUUGUGGCCAAUCCUCAUGCUUGUAUCUUCUCCAUCGGUCUGUUCAUGCUCAUCUGAAAGGCAACGUUUUGGGGUUUUUUUUUCUACUUUUUCUGAGACGUGCAGGUAGUUUGGGAGCAUUAUUGUGAAAAAUGGAUGAAACAUCGGACGAAUUGUAUGAUCAAAGAUAUGUACUCUAAGAAGCUGAUGUUGCGCUGCAUCUGGAAGCUGACAUGAGACUGAAGGGACACAUCCUUUGCUGUGGAAUAUUUGUCUCCAGCUGCUCCUUUGCAGGAUACUGCUUAGCUACGUUGGGGCAAAGUGCAAAGGAGCUUGAGAGGCUCAGGCCAUGUGGGGUCUGUUAUCUUUGCUGAAAGUCUGCCAGAUGGGAUCUUUUGAUGGUCCAGAAGUUCUCAAGGGAUUGGCUGUCAAGCCACAGCAUUUGUUCUUCUCAGUAACAAAGUAAAAACAGAUCCUGCCUUUCCUUGAUCAUCCACUGCUGGUCACUAAGGGAGUCUGGGCGAUAAUUUCAAAUGAACGAAAGCCUACGGAGGUCCCUGCGGUCAUCCUUCAGCUUAGCAAGGGUCCCUGAAGUGUGUCCCUUGUAGGAACCCUCUCCACAUGCCAGGUAUUUCCACCCGGCUGCCACCACUGCCAUGAGUCACUGAUGAACCACAUGGACUGUGAACAAACCUUCUCCCCCAAGGUAUCUCACGUGUUUUAUUUUGAUUUCUAUAUUGUGAAACGUUAACAUAUUAGGAGAACCAGAACACAUCAGGGUUUAUGUUUUUCUGUGUACUUUUAGGAAAUUCAGCAAGUAGUUGAUAGCAUUGUUAAAAUACAUGUAAUAAUGUCACAAGCACCUCUCUCCGCAGGCUGGAUUUUAAUUCCCUUGUGCUCUCAACUGAUUGUCAAACUAAGCAUGUACUCUGAAUGGCUAAAUUAGCACCGUGCUAUGCUUUGUUUUACCUUCUCUGUAAUUUACAGGAUGCAAAAGCCUAUUAAAUAAUUGAAGUAAAACUUCAA